CUAAAACAAGUUUUGUCCGAAAAUUGAAGCCUAAAACACAUUUAACCUCUAUUGUAUUUUAUGCCAUGGUAGGCCUAAAACACAUUCCGCUGCAUCUUCUUCAUUAGAGAAGCUUCGAGGAGGUCCAGUCCGUCUUCUGCGUGUUAAGUCUGGUUGAGCACCUAGAUCAUUGCCAAUCAUCCUAAUUGUUUUCCUGCUAUUUUGAGCAACUUUCAUUUGUUGUUUUAAAGUCAUAUUCAUUGUUCAAAAUCUGAUUGACACUCUUUUCUAAAAUUUGGAUGCUAUAGUUGCUUAUUUUUUAAAUGCACCAGAACUGAGUAAGCCAAAUUGCAUUCUAAGCUGAAUCUGUCAAGAAAAUGUGUUCAAACAAGUUUGAUUUCAUCUAUUAAACAUGUUUGUGAAAGGCUAAUUCGAUUACACACUGUUCUGUGCAUUUUCCAUAUUCAACCUAUCCAAAAUUUAGGCACUUUUCUGGUUCAAAUUUAGCUGCUGUAGUAGAAACUAUUGAUUACAAACUGAAAUUGGUGUUUUGAAUAUUAAUUGUGGGGUGUAGCAAAAGCUUUGGUCCAUAGAACAAAAUUGAAAACAUUCAAAAGAGUUUGCAAUGACAUUAAAAAGCUAACUAGACUGGUACAUCCUAUUGUGAAAUUUGCAAUUUCGAAUUCACCAUUCUGCACCAAAAUUUGAUUGCUCUUUGAGGCAUUUUUACAAACAGAUUGUAAAAUCUGCAGUGCACAGCUAAUUUGACUCCAAUUUUCAUUCGUGUUUUUUUUAUUGCUUUUCUAAUCUACUGUAGAGCACUUCCUAGGAUCCUUUUGAGUGCCUUCCUUCUUGAAAGCUUUGUUUCUUGCUUGUCUUGGUUGAUAACUCUAGUUUUGUCUAUCACAUGUGCAUUCUAUUCUGCUGUUCAUAAUUGGAACUUUUGUUUGCUUUUAUAAUUUGAUCUAGAGUUUCUUUUGAGUCUGUUUCCUCUACUGUCCUGUUUUGUUUUGCAUAUCACUCUGCUUAGCCUAGCCAAUCUGGUUUGAGAAGCUCUUUUACUCUGGAUUUCUAGAAAUUUGAAAGNGGUUUGUGUACUUGGUUGCAUUUUAGGUGGUGGANGUCUAAAAGACUCUCCAACCUUGAACUACCAAGGGAGAAUCUCCCUUCCAAACCUUUCAUUUUGAGUGUUUUAAGCCUUCAAAAAUAGUCUUGAAUUUUGUGUGCUUUGUGUGGCUGUAUCCAAGAGCCAAAUAUCCUUGUUGAGAGCGUGUCUUCCUUAAGUUCUGAAUCUGAAAUGUGCUAAUCAGUUAAAGUUGUGCAAUUUUGUUUG
rnacentral:lncRNA from 1 species